rnacentral:rRNA from 3 species
UUCCGUAGGUGAACCUGCGGAGGGAUCAUUACAAGUGACCCCGGUCUAACCACCGGGAUGUUCAUAACCCUUUGUUGUCCGACUCUGUUGCCUCCGGGGCGACCCUGCCUUCGGGCGGGGGCUCCGGGUGGACACUUCAAACUCUUGCGUAACUUUGCAGUCUGAGUAAACUUAAUUAAUAAAUUAAAACUUUUAACAACGGAUCUCUUGGUUCUGGCAUCGAUGAAGAACGCAGCGAAAUGCGAUAAGUAAUGUGAAUUGCAGAAUUCAGUGAAUCAUCGAAUCUUUGAACGCACAUUGCGCCCCCUGGUAUUCCGGGGGGCAUGCCUGUUCGAGCGUCAUUUCACCACUCAAGCCUCGCUUGGUAUUGGGCAACGCGGUCCGCCGCGUGCCUCAAAUCGACCGGCUGGGUCUUCUGUCCCCUAAGCGUUGUGGAAACUAUUCGCUAAAGGGUGCUCGGGAGGCUACGCCGUAAAACAAACCCAUUUCUAAGGUUGACCUCGGAUCAGGUAGGGAUACCCGCUGAACUUAAGCAUAUCAAUAAGCGGAGGAA